GGAGUGGCGGCAGCUACACAUGCAAGUCGAGCGGUAACAGGGGUAGCUUGCUACCCGCUGACGAGCGGCGGACGGGUGAGUAAUGCAUAGGAAUCUGCCCGAUAGUGGGGGAUAACCUGGGGAAACCCAGGCUAAUACCGCAUACGUCCUACGGGAGAAAGGGGGCUUCGGCUCCCGCUAUUGGAUGAGCCUAUGUCGGAUUAGCUAGUUGGUGAGGUAAAGGCUCACCAAGGCAACGAUCCGUAGCUGGUCUGAGAGGAUGAUCAGCCACAUCGGGACUGAGACACGGCCCGAACUCCUACGGGAGGCAGCAGUGGGGAAUAUUGGACAAUGGGGGCAACCCUGAUCCAGCCAUGCCGCGUGUGUGAAGAAGGCCCUCGGGUUGUAAAGCACUUUCAGCGAGGAAGAACGCCUAUCGGUUAAUACCCGGUAGGAAAGACAUCACUCGCAGAAGAAGCACCGGCUAACUCCGUGCCAGCAGCCGCGGUAAUACGGAGGGUGCAAGCGUUAAUCGGAAUUACUGGGCGUAAAGCGCGCGUAGGUGGCUUGAUAAGCCGGUUGUGAAAGCCCCGGGCUCAACCUGGGAACGGCAUCCGGAACUGUCAGGCUAGAGUGCAGGAGAGGAAGGUAGAAUUCCCGGUGUAGCGGUGAAAUGCGUAGAGAUCGGGAGGAAUACCAGUGGCGAAGGCGGCCUUCUGGACUGACACUGACACUGAGGUGCGAAAGCGUGGGUAGCAAACAGGAUUAGAUACCCUGGUAGUCCACGCCGUAAACGAUGUCGACCAGCCGUUGGGUGCCUAGAGCACUUUGUGGCGAAGUUAACGCGAUAAGUCGACCGCCUGGGGAGUACGGCCGCAAGGUUAAAACUCAAAUGAAUUGACGGGGGCCCGCACAAGCGGUGGAGCAUGUGGUUUAUUCGAUGCAACGCGAAGAACCUUACCUACCCUUGACAUCUACAGAAGCCGGAAGAGAUUCUGGUGUGCCUUCGGGAACUGUAAGACAGGUGCUGCAUGGCUGUCGUCAGCUCGUGUUGUGAAUGUUGGGUUAAGUCCCGUAACGAGCGCAACCCUUGUCCUUAUUUGCCAGCCAGUA
rnacentral:rRNA from 1 species